rnacentral:rRNA from 1 species
GACGAACGCUGGCGGCGUGCUUAACACAUGCAAGUCGAGCGGUAAGGCCCUUUCGGGGGUACACGAGCGGCGAACGGGUGAGUAACACGUGGGUGACCUGCCUUUAGCUCUGGGAUAAGCCUGGGAAACCGGGUCUAAUACUGGAUAUGACUCCAUGACGCAUGUUGUGGGGUGGAAAGCCUUGUGCGGCUAGAGAUGGGCCCGCGGCCUAUCAGCUUGUUGGUGGGGUGAUGGCCACCAAGGCGACGACGGGUAGCCGGCCUGAGAGGGCGACCGGCCACACUGGGACUGAGACACGGCCCAGACUCCUACGGGAGGCAGCAGUGGGGAAUCUUGCGCAAUGGGCGAAAGCCUGACGCAGCGACGCCGCGUGAGGGAUGACGGCCUGUGU